GCGACCGUAGAGACCGGCAGGGACAUAUCACUUUAAUGAUAUAAUAAACACUGGGAUUACAGAGAAGCUGCGGAAAUCUGAAACAAACACAGAAAGUGUUACAGAAACUCAGCAGCUCUAUCUGUGGAGAGAAAACAGAGUGAAUGAUUUGAAUCCAGUGCCCAUCUUAAGUUUUUCCAACACUGAAACCCAGGAGACUGAAAAACUUUGAAAUCCCAGGAAAGGAAAGAGCUAUGUUUCUCUGUGCAGUAAACACACGGGAAGGGAGAGGAGGCAAUGGCCUAGUGGUAUUGUUGCUGGACUGUUAAUCCAGAGACAUGGUUAACAUUCUGGGGACCCAGGUUUGAAUCCCACCAAGGUCUACAUGUGCAGCGACUUCCAGAACCAGAAGUCAAUGUGAAAGCUCGAUCCUAAUAUUUGGCAUGGGGAGUGCUGCGCUACUGGUUGUAACAACUCCUUUACUUCAAACUGUAUGUCAUUAUAGCCCAUGAUCUAUGGGUGGAUAGCCCUCAUUGCUGAAACUUCUAUUACAAAAAUCGUAAUUUCACCUCCUCUAAUUAAGGAUGCCCUCAAUCGCAUCUCCUCCAUUUCCAGCACUUUUGCCCUCAAAGCCACUCCCUCAACAGCAAUAAGAAUAGAGCCCACUUAGUCCUCACAUACCACCCCACCAAUCUCUGAAUCCCACAAAUCAUCCUCCAAUAUUUCCGCCACCUACAAAAAGAUAUUUCCUUUCUCACUCCUGUCUGCUUUCCUCAGGGACGAUUCAUUCCAUGAAUCCCUUGUCAGCUCUAUAUUCCCUACCAAUCCACAAGAGGUGCAACACCUGCCCCCACACCUCUCCUCUCACCUUUGUCCAAGGCCCCAAACAAUCCUUCCAGAUCUGGCAUAGAUUCACCUGCAACUCAUUGAACCUUAUCUGUUGUAUCCAUUGCUCCCGCUGUGGGUCUCCUGUAUAUCAGGGAGACCACACACAGACUAGGGGACCAGUUGGCAGAGCAUCUGUACUUGUGCACGCAUCAACCAACCUGACCCGGUUGCCAUCCAUUUUUAAUUACCCCCUUCCACUUCCCUGACGACAUGUCCAUCCUUGGCUCCUCCACUGUCAGAGUGAGGCCAAAUGUAAACUGGAGGAGCAACGCCUGAUAUUUUGCCUUGGAAAGCUUACAGCCCAAUGGCCUUAACAUUGACUUCACCAGCUUCAAAAUCCCUCCACCUCCAGCCCUUAAACCCAUGUCCAGUUCUCCCCCUCCCGACCUGAUUUAACCCAUCCAUCUUCCAACUCAUCUGUCUGAGCUAUCCUUCCCAUUGGACAAUCACAAUAACCCUGUAUCUACAUCCACUAUUCACCAUCUCUCCUACCCUUGCCCCAGCUCUACCCCCCUCCCUCUAUUUAUUUAUGGGCUCCUUCCCCCUCCCCUGAAAUGUUGACUUACCUGUUCGUCGGAGCUGUCUGAACUGCUGUGCUCAGGACUGUAGAAACUACAGAAAGCUGUGUGCACAGCCCAGACUAUCACAGAAGCCAACCUUCCAUUUACAGAGUUUGUUGCUGAAAGGUUGCCUGCAUCAUCAAAGCACCAUCACACACCAGUGAUGACCUCCUACAACCCUUUCAAUCAGAAAGAAGAUACAGAAGCUUGAACACUCACACCAGCUGGUUCAGGAACAGCUUCUUCCACGUUGUUAUUUGACUGAUGAAUGGACUCCUAAGCCUCAAAUAACGCUGAUCUUGCUAACAUUCAUCUCACCCACUGUACGCCCUGUGCAAUGUAACCUGUAUGCCUCUAAGAUUUUUUUCCAACCUUUGACCUGUACAUCCUGGCAUACUGUGAUCUGCCUGUAUUCUUCAUAAACAAAGCUUUUCAUUGUACGCUGGUACACAUGACAAUAAAUCAAUCCAGUUGAUCAGCUAACCUGUCCAGGGAAGGUUUGAGGGCAGCAGGGUGUGCAUUCAGAAAAAAAAUCAGAGACUGACACAUUUCGCUGUAGAAUCUCUACAGUAUGGAAGGGGAUGUUCUAGCUAUUGAGCCUUCAAGAAGCAUCCCACUUGGUCCCAGCCCUAUUCUUGUAGCCCCAUGUUUAUUUACAAUGUUUAAUCGGCCUAAUCUUCACAUUUUUGAACUGUGGGAGGAAGCCUGAGCACCUAGGAUGAACGCAUGCAAUACAUUCAAACUCUACAUAGACAGUUGCCUGGGGUUGGAACUGAACCCAGGUUUCCGAUACCGUGGGGCAGCAUUGCUAACCAUUAAGGCACCAUGCCACCCUAAAGAGCCAGUUGACCAAUAUGGGGCUCGAACCCAGGACUCUGACAUUAAGAGCCUCAUGCUCUACUGACUGAUCUAGUCAGGCCGUAUAGAUAUAUUUGUGCUGCACAAUCCCAGGAUUGCCACACUCUGAGGGUAGAUUUUAAAAUGCAUGCAUUUGGGUUCUUCUCACUACUAGCUCCUGAGCACAGGAAGGUGCUAGAAAAAUCCAGGCUUCACCAUUCCUGCUAUAGGGGUUCUGACACUAGCAAAUCUCUCAUGCUUCAAAAUAUAAGCUUUUCAAACUUGGUCCUAGAAGAGUUAGGAUUCCACACCCCACCCACCCACUCCAGUGGAGGGUUAAUGUGAGAGAAUAGCCUUUGGUCUCGCUCAUCAUUUCCCCUGGGAUUAGAGUGGUGCUGGUGCUGCUCAGCAGAAUGAGUAUGGUGCUGUCGAGGCUCUUGGACUUGAACUCAGAAUCCUUGUAGCGUAGAGCCUACAUCACAGAGACAGAUCAUUUCGGCCAACACUGUGCCAGUGCUUAAACUCUUCCCAUGCCUAACCAUCUAAUCUUAGCUUCAUUUCCUUCUAUUCCUUUCUCCCUUAUGUGCUUACCUAGCUUCCUCUUAAAUGCACCUUUGUUAUUUGUCUCAGCCACUCCUUGUGGUAGUGAGUUCCAAAUUUUGCCAUCGUCUAAGUAAAGAAAUCAGUCUUGAAUUUCCUAUUUCCUUGUUAAUGAGUAUCUUAUACUUGUAGCCCAUAUUUCUGGUCUAACCAACACCACAACCAUCACCCCUGCUGCCCUUCCCAAUUUUUUAAAAACAUCCUAACCUCCUCAUUUGCUGACAAAUCUAAUUAGUUUCCAGUGGUUGUUCUGUUUUAUAUUUGGAAAGAUUAUAAUCAGGCAAAUGGAGCACAAUCUGGAGAGGUAUUUGUAAAGGGUGAGCAAAGCAGACAAUAUGUAUUGAAUACCAGAACAUGUAGCACAUAGAGAAACACUGGCCUUGAAGUGAAUGUCUACAGAUCCCUGAUUCUAACUGGACGAGUGGGUAGAAAACUUGUAAAUGCUUUCCUUCAUUAGUUUUAAGGUAGAAGGGUGAUUGCACCAGAACUGUCCAGAACACUUAGACCAGAGCUACAUACUGCUUCCAGUUCCAAUCACUGGAAAGUUGUGAUCAUGAUGGAAAGGGCUUAGAGUAAAUUUAUAAAGACAUUGCCAGGAAUUGGCAAUUUUUAACAGAAGGAUUAGGUAGGCUGAUUUUUUUUCUUUGAAACAGGGAAGCUGAGGGGAGAUUUAUGUGACAUUUCUAAAAUUUAAAGCAUCAAGAUUGGGUGGAUAUAAAGUAUCAAUCUGUUGUGGUAGAGAGGUCACUGACCGGGAGGCCUGGAUAAAAAGUAUAAUUAAAAGGGGAAAUUCCUUCAUCCAGUGGGGAUGGGGAAGGGGGAGCGACAGUCUGGAACUUGGUGCCUGACAGGGUGACUGAGACAGGUACCCACAUCAUACUUUUGAAAAAAAAGUCUUGUGCAGUAAGGUAGAGGACAGAGACAUGAUGGACUGAACUUCCAUUGGGAUAGGUAACACUGUCAGACUAGUGAAAGGCCGUGAUCUAGGAAGGUGAUCUGGAUCAUUCCUGUUAGUGGGAGAAAGCUAAUUCGGUACUACUCCUACUUCCAGGUGGGAACGUGCUGAUCUGAGAUUACUCCUGUGUUCAGAUGGAAAGUUGAUGAUCUGGAAUUUUGCUGGCCAAAUGGAAUAUUAUUUCACUCAUUCAUUACUUCUGGCUGCUGUUCAUCAGAAUGCCAUUUACUGCAUUGCAUUCAGCCUGGAACAGAUUAGCAUUGAUCAGGAGCACAGCCAAUCUCAGACAUUUGGACAAGUAUGGAGCCCAGCAGCUGCCUGUCUUUGGAGGGUUUUUCCUCUGCUUUAUAAUUCCACAACUGCCAUAACACUUUUCUUAGAAGCUAAAAUAUAAAACCUUCCAGACUAUUGCAUUUGUGCUGGUUAUUUUGCUAGAAUAACUUCAAAAUUAAUCCCACUUUCCUCCCCUGCAUCAAUUCCUGCGUUAGUCUCACUGCCCCAUGAUUUCCCUAACCCUAUUUCUUUCCUUUAAAAUAUUGAGCAACGUUUUUCCCUGGAAAGAUGAUCUUUAGCUGAACCACGGUAUAUGCGUGCUGAAUAUUUGCUAGCUCCGUCUUCAUGCUUUAGUGAUUGUUUUGAUGAUCUCUCAACACUUGAUUUCUCAGCCAGAGGAAAAGAUCUUUCAUUUUAUGAAUAGUUUAAACACAUUUUCUUAAAAAAAAACCACAGUGGGAACUGUUCCAGUACCUGAUUUCUCCGCACUUAGAAACAUAGAAAAUAGGAACAGGAAAUAGGCCAUAUGGCCCUUUUACCAUUCAAUGUGAUCAUGGCUGAUCAUCCAACUCAGUACCCUGUUCUUACAUUUUUCUGCAUAUCAUUUGAUACCUUUAGAAAUCUGAGGUAUAUCUAACCCUUUCUUGAAAGCAUUCAGUGUUUUGGGCUCAACAGCUUUCGGCAACAGAGAAUUCCAAAAACUCACCACCCCCUGGGUGAAGGCAUUGCUCCCCAUCUCCAACCUAAAUGCCCUAUCUUUUAUCCUUAGACUGUGACUCCUGGUUCUGGACUCCCUGGUCAUUGAGAACAUCUUUCCUGUGUUUACCCUGUCUAGUUCUGUUAGAAUUUUUUUAGGUUUCCAUAAAAUCCCGCUUAUUGUUCUAAAUUACUGUGCAUAUAGCCCUAACUGAUCUAGUCUUUCUUCAUAUGUCAGACAAGGAAUCAGUUUGGUAAUCCUUUGUUGCACUUCCCCUAUAGCCAGAUCAUCUAUCAUCAGAAAAGGAGACCAAAACUGCACACACUCUUCCAAUUGUGGUCUGUACAAUUACAGGAACACAUCCCUGCUCCUGUUUUCAAAUACUCUUGCUAUGAAGUCCAACAUACCAUUAGUUUUCUUCACCAUCUCCUGUACCCUGCAUGAUUACUUUUAGCAACUGGUGCACAAGGUCACCUAGGUCUCAUUGCACCUACCCCUCUCCCAAUCUGUUGGCAUUCAAUUAUAAUUGGUCUUGUUGUUUUUGCUAUUAAAGUGCAUCACAUUUA